UUCUCUCAUUCUAUCUCUUUCUCAGUUUCAAAGAAGUUUGUUGACGAAUCGUUCCUACGUUCUUCAUGUCAUGCAUAUUUUCGAUUGAAAAUAUAUAUCUAACCCCAACCCUAGAUUUACUUCAAACAGAUUUAAGGUUCCUGUUGCAGAAAUUUAAAGUUAGGGUUUGAGGUUAUGUUCUGAGAUGAAGCGGGGUUUGAUGUAAAAAUCGAGAUUGAAUGGGUUUGAAUGAUGGUUGUGGUUGGAUUUGUGGAUUUUGAAAGUUAGGGCUAGAUUUGAGAUUGCAAGUUAGGAUUUGAGAUUCGAAAGUUAGGGUUUGAGAUUUGUGGAGUUUGAAGGGCUGGAUUUGAGAUUGAAAGUUAGGAUUUGAGAUUUGUGGAUAUGGUUGGCAUUUGUAGAGCAAUGGUUUGCAGGGAAUGUGUUGUCAGACAGUUUUGUUUGAAGGUCUUGUUGUGAGACAGUUGAGUGUUGGAAAUGGUUGGCUUGUAGACAGCUGGGAAAUGGGUGUUGAUGCUAUUGAUUUGGUAAUAGAGAAGAAUGAGUUACUGUGGCUGUGAAGUUGGGUUUAAAGUAAACUUGCAUUUUUCAGAGAUCAAGUCAAGUGAUGCAGAUAUGAUAUUGGGUUUCAGAGCAGGUGUUGGUGGUGUUUGAGUUCUUGAAGGUAUGGUGGAGGUGGGUGGUGGAUGCUGGUGGUCAGUGGUUGGGAGUAUCAACACUUUAAUCAGCAAUUGCAUUGAAGACGAAGAACAAUCAAAGAACACAAAAAGGAGAGAAGCUUUACAUUUGCUGCAUUUUGUUACUUUCCAUUCAUUGGUUCUACAACAACAUAAGAGAAGGGUUAGUUCUUCUUCAGCUGCUUUCUGCAUUAGUGGUUACCUAUAAGGGGCAAACAUCGAAAAAAGUUAGUAACCAAUAAUAACUGUAGAAAUUAGUACUAAUCCCAUACUUGUGUUUGUGAAGAUUGGCAACUUGGUUAAGGAAAGGGCAACGAACUCUAAGCGUUAACUGGAUUUUACCCACAAGUUGUUUCUGAAUCCAAUGGUAUUAGUUCUCUGAGUAUAUAUCAUGAAUCCAUAUGUUUAUUUCAGGAUUUUGUGAAGUUUUUUUAAUUGAGAGAAGUGAGAUUUGCUUGCUUCAGUUAGUGUUUUUAUCACCUUGCUUAGUGCAGACUUCACGAGAAUGGAAUCUUUCGGCAAA